CGCGUGUGUGAAGAAGGCCUUAUGCGUUGUAAAGCACUAAAGGCGAGGAGGACGGCUACUGAAGAUAAUACCUAAAGAUAGUGGAACGUUACUCGCAAGAUACUAAGCAGCCAGGGCUAACUCUUGGUGCCAAGNCUAGGCCCGGCGGGGUUAANNUAACANGAANGGGGNUUGCAANNGCGUUAAUCGGAUUUACUGGGCGUAAAGCGCGCGUAGGCGGCUAAUUAAGUCAAAUGUGAAAUCCCCGAGCUUAACUUGGGAAUUGCAUUCGAUACUGGUUAGCUAGAGUGUGGGAGAGGAUGGUAGAAUUCCAGGUUGG
rnacentral:rRNA from 1 species